rnacentral:misc_RNA from 1 species
GAUGAAGAACGUAGCGAAAUGCGAUAAGUAAUGUGAAUUGCAGAAUUCAGUGAAUCAUCGAAUCUUUGAACGCACAUUGCGCCCGCCAGUACUCUGGCGGGCAUGCCUGUUCGAGCGUCAUUACAACCCUCAGGCCCCCGGGCCUGGCGUUGGGGAUCGGCGGAGCCCCCCGUGGGCACACGCCGUCCCCCAAAUGCAGUGGCGGUCCCGCCGCAGCUUCCAUCGCGUAGUAGCUAACACCUCGCGACUGGAGAGCGGCGCGGCCACGCCGUAAAACACCCAACUCUUCUGAAGUUGACCUCGAAUCAGGUAGGAAUACCCGCUGAACUUAAGCAUAUCAAUAAGCGGAGGA